GCUUUAAUAAUUUAAAUCAAAAAUAUUGAUCUUGUAAAUCAAAUAUAAGUUAUUAACUUUUAAAGCU
rnacentral:tRNA from 1 species